rnacentral:snoRNA from 1 species
ACCUCAGUGAUUGCAGCCAGUUUAACUGGCAAUAUACGCUAUGCUGACCAUAGUUUGAUGAAAAAUAUGAAUAUGAGAGCU